rfam:Peptostreptococcaceae bacterium oral taxon 113 str. W5053 genomic scaffold Scaffold81, whole genome shotgun sequence.
AACUUGACAUAGGGGAGCUCGCCAAUACGCGGGCUGAGAAUAAACCGUAGGGUUUUAAACCCAUUAACCUGAUUUGGAUAAUGCCAACGUAGGGAAAGAUAGCGCAAGGACA